UACGAAGGGGGCUAGCGUUGUUCGGAAUUACUGGGCGUAAAGCGCGCGCAGGCGGUCUUCCAAGUCAGUGGUGAAAGCCCGGAGCUCAACUCCGGAACUGCCAUUGAAACUGUGAGACUAGAGUACGAGAGAGGUGAGUGGAAUUCCCAGUGUAGAGGUGAAAUUCGUAGAUAUUGGGAAGAACACCGGUGGCGAAGGCGGCUCACUGGCUCGUUACUGACGCUCAGGCGCGACAGCGUGGGGAUCAAACAGG
rnacentral:rRNA from 1 species